rnacentral:rRNA from 1 species
CCUACGGGGUGCUGCAGUGAGGAAUAUUGGUCAAUGGGCUUACGCCUGAACCAGCCAAGUCGCGUGAGGGAAGACUGCCCUAUGGGUUGUAAACCUCUUUUGUCAGGGAGCAACGCCGGCUACGUGUAGCCGGACUGAGAGUACCUGAAGAAAAAGCAUCGGCUAACACCGUGACCGCAGCCGCGGUUAUACGGGGGGUGCGCGCGUUCUCCGGAUUUAUUGUGUUAAGAGGGUGCGUAGGCGGAAUUCCAAGUCAGCGGUAAAAGCCCGGGGCACAGCCGCGCUCCGCCGUUGAAACUGGCUUUCUUGAGUGGGCAGGAAGUAGGCGGAAUGCGUGGUGGAGCGGUGAAAUGCAUAGAUAUCACACAGAACUCCGAUUGCGAAGGCAGCAAACCGGCGCCCAACUGACGCUGAAGCACGAAAGCGUGGGUAUCGAACAGGAUUAGAUACCCGUGUAGUC